GUCAGUUUAGCUUAAAGGUAAAGCACCAUGACCGGUAAUUGCAGCGAUGUGAGUUCGUGUCUCAUUGCUGGCA
rnacentral:tRNA from 1 species